UCUCGGGAUUGAGGUAAUACUCCAUAGGUCACGGGGUCUGGAACGACCCGUGGCCGAAAGCCCCGGCGCCUAAGGAUCGCUCUGCGGCUUAUCAGGUCGUAGUGGGUGUAACGUACCCCCUAGCCGACGAGGAGUAUGGGCCUUGAGAGAGGGAGCCCAGAGUUGGAUUCUGAGACACGAAUCCAGGCCCUACGGGGCGCAGCAGUCGCGAAAACUUCACACUGGGGGCAACCCCGAUGAGGGAAUUCCUAGUGCCAGGGCCUCUGGUCCUGGCUUUUCUCCGGCGUAGACGACCGGAGGAAUAAGGGCUGGGCAAGACGGGUGCCAGCCGCCGCGGUAAUACCUGCAGCCCGAGUGGUGGUCGAUUUUAUUGAGUCUAAAACGUUCGUAGCCGGCCCGGUAAAUCCCUGGGUAAAUCGGGAAGCUCAACUUCCCGAAUUCCGGGGAGACUGCCGGGCUUGGGACCGGGAGAGGCUAGAGGUACUUCUGGGGUAGGGGUAAAAUCCUGUAAUCCUGGAAGGACCACCGGUGGCGAAGGCGUCUAGCUAGAACGGAUCCGACGGUGAGGGACGAAGCCCUGGGUCGCAAACGGGAUUAGAUACCCCGGUAGUCCAGGGUGUAAACGCUGCAGACUUGGUGUUGGGGGCCCUUCGGGGGCGUCCAGUGCCGGAGAGAAGUUGUUAAGUCUGCUACUUGGGGAGUACGUCCGCAAGGAUGAAACUUAAAGGAAUUGGCGGGGGAGCACCGCAACGGGAGGAGCGUGCGGUUUAAUUGGAUUCAACACCGGAAAACUCAUCAAGGGCGACUGUUACAUGAAAGCCAGGCCGAUGACCUUGCUAGAUUUUCAGAGAGGUGGUGCAUGGCCGUCGUCAGUUCGUACCGUAAGGCGUUCUCUUAAGUGAGAUAACGAACGAGACCCUCACCGAUAAUUGCUACCCCUUCCUCCGGGGAGGGGGCACAUUAUAGGGACCGCUGGCGCUAAGCCAGAGGAAGGAGAGGUCAACGGUAGGUCAGUAUGCCCCGAAUCUCUUGGGCUACACGCGCGCUACAAAGGGCGGGACAAUGGGCUCCGACGCCGAGAGGCGGAGGCAAUCCCGAAACCCGUCCGUAGUUCGGAUCGGGGGUUGUAACUCACCCCCGUGAAGCUGGAUUCCGUAGUAAUCGCGAAUCAUCAA
rnacentral:rRNA from 1 species